UCGAGAAUUCUUGGACCACGCCAUGAAGUUGUACUAAACUAGAAGAUUUGACCUCCUCUUGUACAUCAGCAUGAAAGAACUCAUUCUGUUAGUGGUUGUUUGCUGUGCCGUUGGCCACGCACAUGCACAAGCUUCUUGUGGAAGAAGACCGUCAGGAGCCCGCGUAGUCGGUGGAGAGGAAGCAGUGCCUCAUUCGUGGCCAUGGCAACUGUCAUUACGUAAAUAUGGAAGACAUACUUGUGGAGCUUCACUCAUUACCCCUGGAUGGGCUCUUACCGCUGGUCACUGUGUUCGAAGGAGUUUGAACGCUAAGAUGUAUUCUGUUGUGGCAGGUGCUCAUCAACGUGUAGGCGAUGGGACGGAAUACCACAUAUCCAAGAUUAUUUUGCACAAAGAUUAUUCACAUGUUUUCCAUGAUGUUGCUUUGCUCAAACUGGCAAAGGCUGUGAUUCUCAAUAAAAAUGUUGGGACAAUUUGUCUACCGAAGCAGAACGAUCGGCUCCCGACUGGGAAAAAAUGUUACAUGACAGGGUGGGGUCGAUAUUCUGGCUCACAUAACGCUGGAUCACCAAAGCUAAAACAAACAUUUGUCCCCAUCGCCGAACACCAGAAAUGCAGAACCGUGAACGGGGCUUCAGUGAAGGAAGACAUGAUGGUCUGCGCUGGAGGGACUGGGACUAGCGUGUGCAAUGGUGACAGCGGUGGGCCGUUAUCCUGUGAAGAGAAUGGAAGAUGGGUUUUGAGAGGCGCAGCAUCAUGGGUCACUGAUCGUAGUUGUCCCGGUGACACAUACUCUGUUUACGCUCGGGUGAGCAGUUAUAUUGAUUGGAUUAACAAAAAUAUGAAAGAUAAUGGUGGCAGUGGUAGUGGUGGAAAUGGCGGCAAUGGCGGGAACGGUGGUACUGGAGGGAACGGCGGCAAUGGUGGCAACGGUGGUGGAAGCACAAGGAUUUUGCUCCUGUCCGCAAUAGUGAGAUGUCCGUUAUAUCAGGGUUUCACGAGCAUGCAAAGAUAAUCAUCCCAACUGCAAGUCUUUUGUGAGAUUCUGUAGCUACAGUCCCAAUGUCAAACGACUUUGCCGUAAAACAUGUCGACUUUGUUCUUAGUUUUCAUGAAGAAAUCAAGCACGAAACGUCAAUGUAAUGUAACUUUGCAGAUUGUCACAUGCMAUGCUUAUAUGCCAUCAAUAAUAUAACCAACAAUAAAAGUCACGUUAUAUUUCCUUGA